GCGGUGCAGGUGCCACUGGCCGAGGUGGUGGGCGCCUCAGGGGUGCCCGCGGACCGGAUGCCGACGGCGGUGCGGUUCCCGCCCGAGGGCGCCGCG
rnacentral:tRNA from 1 species